rnacentral:rRNA from 1 species
UUUAAAUGGCCGCAGUAUACUAACUGUGCAAAGGUAGCAUAAUCAUUAGUCUUUUAAUUGUAGGCUGGUAUGAAUGGUUGGACGAGAUAUUAACUGUUUCAUAAAAAUUUUUAUUAGAAUUUUAUUUUUUAGUUAAAAAGCUAAAAUUUAUUUAAAAGACGAGAAGACCCUAUAAAUCUUUAUAUUUACAUUAUUAUAAUUUUAUGGAUUAUUUUUGUUAUGAUAAUAAUAAUAUUUUAUUGGGGUGAUAUUAAAAUUUAAUAAACUUUUAAUUUUUAAAAUCAUUAAUUUAUGAAUAAUUGAUCCGUUAUUAACGAUUAAAAAAAUAAGUUACUUUAGGGAUAACAGCGUAAUUUUUUUGGAGAGUUCUUAUCGAUAAAAAAGAUUGCGACCUCGAUGUUGGAUUAAGAUAUAAUUUUAGGUGUAGUCGCUUAAAUUUUAAGUCUGUUCGACUUUUAA